rnacentral:rRNA from 1 species
GACGAACGCUGGCGGCGUGCUUAACACAUGCAAGUCGAACGGAAAGGCCCUGCUUUUGUGGGGGGCUCGAGUGGCGAACGGGGGAGUAACACGUGAGUAACCUGCCCUUGACUUUGGGGUAACUUCAGGAAACUGGGGCUAAUACCGGAUAGGAGCUCCUGCUGCAUGGUGGGGGGUGGGAAGUUUCGGCGGUUGGGGAUGGACUCGCGGCUUAUCAGCUUGUUGGUGGGGUAGUGGCUUACCAAGGCUUUGACGGGUAGCCGGCCUGAGAGGGUGACCGGCCACAUUGGGACUGAGAUACGGCCCAGACUCCUACGGGAGGCAGCAGUGGGGAAUAUUGCACAAUGGGCGGAAGCCUGAUGCAGCAACGCCGCGUGCGGGAUGACGGCCUUCGGGUUGUAAACCGCUUUCGCCUGUGACGAAGCGUGAGUGACGGUAAUGGGUAAAGAAGCACCGGCUAACUACGUG